rnacentral:rRNA from 1 species
GACGAACGCUGGCGGCGUGCUUAACACAUGCAAGUCGAACGGAAAGGCCCUGCUUUUGUGGGGUGCUCGAGUGGCGAACGGGUGAGUAACACGUGAGUAACCUGCCCUUGACUUUGGGAUAACUUCAGGAAACUGGGGAUAAUACCGGAUAGGAGCUCCUGCUGCAUGGUGGGGGUUGGAAAGUUUCGGCGGUUGGGGAUGGAGGCGCGGCUUAUCAGCUUGUUGGUGGGGUAGUGGCUUACCAAGGCUUUGACGGGUAGCCGGCCUGAGAGGGUGACCGGCCACAUUGGGACUGAGAUACGGCCCAGACUCCUACGGGAGGCAGCAGUGGGGAAUAUUGCACAAUGGGCGGAAGCCUGAUGCAGCAACGCCGCGUGCGGGAUGACGGCCUUCUGGUUGUAAACCGCUUUCGCCUGUGACGAAGCGUGAGUGACGGUAAUGUGUAAAGAAGCACCGGCUAACUACGUG